AAAAAAAAGAAAAAAAAGAAACAAAGACACCCCCUUUUCCUUAUUCCUCUUUGUGAUUGUGAAUAUGUGUAUCUCUAUCUAUCUGUCUUUCUUUUUGCCCUUGGUGGUGCGCGCGUGUCCAUCUAUAAAACUACAACUACCUCCUUCCUACCUAUCUACCCUGCACGCUCUUUCAAUGCUCUUACUAGCCGCCCAGCCCCUAACCUUCUUUAUAUAAUCCAACUCAAACCCUUUCUUUUUCUCUUGUCUUCAACACAACAACUCAAUUUUCUUAUAUUCUUCUUCAUCUAG